GAAACAAAUCAAGCGCCAAAUUUUGCAAUUCCAACUGUGACCCGAAUUGUUCCUCUCUUGCGAAAAUUCGCCAUAGCUGUUGGGAAGGAACAGCAGGAGCAUCAGCAGCAGCUUUUCGGAAGACGGCGAGCGAUUCGACGGCAACAACAAACAAGCCGGAAAAUAUUGGAAGCCAUUGCACUGCGACUGAAAACAAAGACUACCGAAGCACCGAAACGGAAUCAGAACCAACGGAGACGAAGUGGCACUUCAGAGUACGCCGUCAUAGGGUGUGAGCAAGAGGCGUAUCGCCUUCUCGUCAACCACACAAACGACGGUGGAAGUUUUGCUUUGCAACACACAGGCGGCCCCUACUGGGGUCGUUUUUGGGAGCUGAGAAAAUCGCUUUUCGGGACUCGAUUUUCGCCAUCUUGGUUUUGCGAGUCCCGUUUUUGCGAAAGUAAGCUGCGGACGUGAGGAGAGCCAGCCGGAAGUCUUCGGAAGUGUUCCGGGCAGCUGUGGUACGUCCGUCGAAGCAGUGCAGCCAGGCAGGGUUGCCAGUAAACCAGAUACGACUGUGAUUACGAAAGAAGCUGUGAUACACCUGUGCCGUCCAAGCAGCUGUGAUAUGAUUGUUGUGCGUUUGAUGUUAGAGUAGGAAAACGGGCCCGUGAGUAAUAAUGUAA